rnacentral:tRNA from 1 species
GCGCCCGUAGCUCAACGGAUAGAGCAUCUGACUUCGGAUCAGAGGGUUGGGGGUUCGAGUCCCUCCGGGCGCG